CGGUCGUGCAAUGGUGGGGAUAGGUAAGGAGUGGGGGACAGCGACGAGCGCAGUAAACUCACUCGGCGGGGUGGACCAAACCGUCAGUCAUCCGUGCUCCGUCGUAGGGAUGAGAUCGCGUCGUCCGACGCCGGUGCUGGUUCGUUCGGUAUCCGUGCGACGACGACGACGACGGUGACACGGAUAUUCCAUCAUAUCGUCGACGCAUUCACGUUUUUCGCCACGUAGUAAAUUCGGUACGAACGCUCGUCUACUCUCCGUUAUUAUUUCGCGUGUGUCACAUUCUUCCUCUCCCUCUCCCUUUCUCUAUUUCUCUCUUCCUUCCUAUCUUUCUAUCUUUCCCUCUCUCUCUUCCCUCUCUCUCUCUUCCUCUCUUUUAUUCAAUCUCUUUCUGCUUGUCUCUUUCCGUCUUCCGUGCCAACCUUCGAAGAAAAUCUACCGAAGAAGCGAAGAAUAUUCGAGUCUUCCACGAAGAACGAAGAGGCCUUCUUCUUUCAGCAUCCGGUUGUUCCUUUCGUCUUUCUUCUGCUGCGACCUUGACGAGGACCUUUUUAGAUUACUCGGAUCUCGAUCGAUGCGGAAGGUGACAUUGAGGUAUCGGCGUUGGUAGGUCGACAAAGUGAUCGCCCAGUGGAACGAAGAGGAAAAAAAAAGAGAAGAAGGGUAUAACCGCGGACAAAGUACCAAAUAGAAGAAAAAGGAAAAAAAAAAACGAGAGGGAAAGGAAUCUCUCAUAAUCAUGACUGGC